rnacentral:rRNA from 1 species
GACUUCUGGUGAUGACUNUGAAUAACUUUGCCGAGCAUUUCAGCCUUGAGCUGGUGNUAUUCCUUCAAAGUAUCUGCUCUAUCAACUGUCGAUGGUAUAUUAUAUGUUUACCAUGGUUGUAACGGGUAACGGGGAAUUAGGGUUCGAUUCCGGAGAGGGAGCCUGAGAAACGGCUACCACAUCUAAGGAAGGCAGCAGGCGCGCAAAUUACCCAAUCCCGGCACGGGGAGGUAGUGACAAAAAAUAACAAUGCGGGACUCUUAAGAGGCUUCGUAAUUGGAAUGAGUACAUUCUAAAUCCUUUAACGAGGAACUAUUGGAGGGCAAGUCUGGUGCCAGCAGCCGCGGUAAUUCCAGCUCCAAUAGCGUAUAUUAAAAUUGUUGCGUCUAAAAAGCUCGUAGUUUGAAAACUUGCCUUGGCUUACACUCGGUCCUCAUGGGCCACCGUUUGUUGAGCGCAAAUAUAGAUGACUGUUUUUGCCGACUUAACUGUUGGGCUUAUAAGAGUUAUCAAAUAUCACUUUGAUUAAAUUAGAGUGCUUAAAGCAAGUGUGUUACUUGGAUAUAAAUGCAUGGAAUGAUGGAAUAUGUUGUUGUUCUAUUUGUUGGUUUUUGA